rnacentral:rRNA from 1 species
GAGACAGCAGUAGCCGCGGUAAUACAGAGGGUGCAAGCGUUAAUCGGAAUUACUGGGCGUAAAGCGCGCGUAGGUGGUUUGUUAAGUUGGAUGUGAAAUCCCCGGGCUCAACCUGGGAACUGCAUCCAAAACUGGCAAGCUAGAGUAUGGUAGAGGGUGGUGGAAUUUCCUGUGUAGCGGUGAAAUGCGUAGAUAUAGGAAGGAACACCAGUGGCGAAGGCGACCACCUGGACUGAUACUGACACUGAGGUGCGAAAGCGUGGGGAGCAAACAGGAUUAGAUACCCCGGUAGUCCCUGUCUCUUAUAC